UCCAAAACACUGCAGUGGAGCCCAAGCCCUGAGCCUAGGUGAAGAUUCAGCAAUGCACAAGCCGUGCUCUGGCAGAGAUGGGAAACCUGAGAUGUCCUUGCUUGAAAUCCCGAAGUGGAGCCAAGGAACUGUUCCCAAACUUCUUGUAUUAUUGAUGCCUCAUUUCCUCAUUAAUGCCACAAAGACUUAUGUGAAGGGACUUCCACAGUGCUAAUGGAAUUACCCACCUAAAUCUCCCCCGUGCUGAUGGCAGGGAACGCUCCGGUUCUCUGCCCUCACGUUAGUGCCGGUGGUCUUGGUAAAGUGCUUCUGUAGCCAAGCAGCCUUCCUGAAAUGCUCGGAGUGACUGGAUUCAUCACUGAACCCACCGCCCUGAGAGCCAGAACAGGAGUGGUUUCAUUCACGAAGUCUUGCUGCCAGGUCUCAUUAGUGAAGCUUUCUUCUCUUUUAUCUACCACCCACCGGUCUCCUCACUUGAUCCUCUUCUCCCAGGUGGAUGCUCUGAAGUUCACACUUGGUUUUGGUGCCUCCAGGCUAUGGGAUAAAAGGUAAGCACAGCACCAGCAAUGGAGAAUUCAGUCUCUUGACCUUUUCAGUAGCCCCUGUUUGAUGAGAAGAACCAGCAGACAGAAGAAGCAGGAGGGUGUCUUCGCAGCUACCUGGCUGGAAAACCAGAGUAGCUCCCUUUAACUAUGAAUUCAAUGCGGCAACUUAAAACGUGUCUCCACUAGCAGCUGCCUUUCACUGGA